rnacentral:rRNA from 1 species
UGAGUAACACGUAUGCAACCUGCCUCGCCACAGCCGGAUAAUCGGGAGAAAUUCCGUCUAAUACGGCAUAAUGCAUCGACGGGACAUCCUGUUGGUGCCAAAGGUUAAUUCCGGUGGGCGGAUGGGCAUGCGUCGCAUUAGUUAGUUGGCGGUGUAACGGACCACCAAGACGACGAUGCGUAGGGGUUCUGAGAGGAAGGUCCCCCACACUGGUACUGAGACACGGACCAGACUCCUACGGGAGGCAGCAG